GCGUCCAUGCCUCCAGUUCUGAGAGACUUUCACCCUUUCCUUCACUGGAAUGCCAGGUGCUAGGUCGGUGCCGAGCUGGGUGAAGCCGGAAUUGAGGCACCCGCGGGCUAUGCGCUUCCAGAGGAGAUCGCGGCUACUGAGGAAGCGCAGGCGGCGGCAGACCUGGCCCAGGCGGCCCAAGGCCUGCACGUCCAGGAGCCUGGAGUACUGACAACACAGGAGGAUCCUGGUCCAAAAUGGCAAAGUAGCCCUCCACAGACAGUGGAGCAGGAAAAUAUGAGUACAGUGUUGUGUUAUUCUUUCUUACAGUAUUUUCCACUCUACAGAAGCCUGAAAUGCUUAGGGAAACUUCUGCCUCAGAAUUAAAAAAUAUAUAUAAAUUAUGAAAAGUAAGUCAUCUACCUAGAAUUCUUUGUACAGGCAUCAUUUACCAGCCACAAACUACAGGUCCUUUUAUAGAGUAGAGUUGUAAAAUAAAUUUCAGCAUUUAAUGAGGUUACCAUAGCAGACAGGCCUUUUAGACACUUACUUGCAUCCUGUCCCAGAAGGUCAUCUCAUCUGUUUAAUCUCAAGCACUCAAAUAUUCAUUUAUCUAAAUCACCAGCUCUGGAGGCCUUGUAUUUGAGAGGUUCCAAAGUGCCAGCUGAGGAGCUGUCUGGUCCACUUACACCGAGUUUCAAGGCACCCUGGAAGUCAAGGAGAUUCUAAAGGAUCAGAAGACAGCAAAUAUUUUAUCAACAUUUAUAAUGAGUGAAUCAGGUGGCUGGAGUAAUUAAAAAUUUCACCACCUCAGAUGAAGUUCAGGUAAAAUAACAGCACAUCCGGUACAGGACUUAGCGGCCAAUUGAAAGGGAGGUAAUAUAACAAAUGUUACUUAAAAGGUUAUGGAUAAUUGAUGUGAAUUCUGUGUCUUUUUGAUGAUGUUAAUCUUAAAUGUGUAAUUAUAAUUAGCUCCUUUGUAAUAGACUUUGGCAUUGCCUGCAACAUUAAACUUAUUAAAAACUGAGUGACUCCUCUGUCGUAAAUUGUUAUUGUAAAGAGAGGUUUAUUAUCAAGUUGGUCUUUCUCCAGUGGGAUUCCACAGAGACAGCGUAUGGAUCCUACAUUAUUUGAUGUUUUUAUUACUGACCUGAAAAAAAAAUCUGAAAUCAUUAUUAGCAAAGUUUUUAGAAGGCAUAAAGCCUCAGGGAAGAGGCCAAGGAUGCUUCUGGCUGCGUAACCUUAUGUUAAGUUUAGGCAUAAUCAAAUAAUACAUAUUUCAAUCAAGUCAAAUGUAAAGUCUCACAUCUAGGAACAAAGAAUGUAGGUCACACUGAAAGGAUGUAACUCUAUCCUGCAAAGCUGCAAUUCCGCAAAGACUUCAUUAAGAUGAAUAAUCAUCUAAAUGUGAUCUCCUUCUGCAGUGCUGUGACCAAAGGGCUGGGAAACAAACAAGAGCCAGGAGGUUGUUUUACCUCUGGUUUUGACUCUGUUGUGACGGCUUUGGAAAUAAUUUGUCCAGCCAACAUUUCAAGAAGGACGUUGAAAAACUAGUGGGUUUUCAAAGAAGAGGAGUAAGAAUGAUUGCAGGACUGUCAAACAUGUUUUAUAGUGAGAACCAAAGUGCUCAGUCUGUUUAGCUUUCCGAAGAGGUUAAGGUGUGAGGGGAUCUUACCUUAUGGGCACCGAAACAGGAAAUAAAAUCUGGUGAUACCAGGAUCUUCAGUUUAGCAGACAAAGUGAUAAGGUCACUUGACAGAAGGUGAUGGGAAACAUUUAUAAAUAUAUUUUUGUAGGGAACCUAUUUAAAACAGUAUCAGAUUUUUCCCCCCUUAAGCGAGACUGUCUAGACUACAACUAAAACUUUAAGUCAGGAAUUGAUCUAGCAACUCCCAACUCAGUAUUUCAGACCAGACAGUCAGAGGGGCCCCUACUCAUUUUAGGCUCUGUUAAUAUGCAAGUGCUUCAUCUGCCGUGUCUGAUAUCUCCUUAUUAACAUCCUUAUUAACACUAUGGCACCCUUAUUCCAAUGUACAGGAGCCUUGUGUGUGCCUGAGUCCUUCACCAAGGUGCAUGUUGGAAGGAAACCAUUCAAAGUGCCACGUGCAAUGCAGCAUAUGGCAACAGCAGAACCAAAAUAUUGAGAAGGACAUUCACAGAAGUAGGGUCUGACUUAGCACUCCCCUGUUUGUGACCCAAGAUACAACUGACUAUGAAAGAUUUAGCUAAGAUGCAACAUGUUUACAAGCAGUGGUCAUACAGAAGGUCAAAUACCAUCCAAACAGGUGUCACAAUGUUAUGAAGAAACCAAUGAUAUGUUGCUCUUAAAAGUAACAUUGUUUUGUAGUGUGAAUAAUUGCCUUACAACAAUAAUUUACCCCAAAUGCUAUGAUCUGUUACUUUCUUUCUCUGCAAGAGGAACAGACAUACAAGUCCAUGCACUUCUCAGGCAUGGUUUCAGCUGCUGUGACUGCUGUGGAGCUGUGGGCGCUGCACAGGCUGAGAUGGCCCUUGUCUUCUCAGCAAUGCUGAAUGAAGUGCAAAGGUAGCUGUCUGCAGGAGCAAGAAGCAAAGAAGGUUUGGAAGCAUUUCUAAAACUGUACGUGUAACAUGAUUAUUUCCAUACAAUGGUCAUACUCUAAUAAUGAAGUCGGUGCAGGUGCCCAGUGCAGGACAAGUCAAUAAAUAACACAGCCUUCACAAAUCUUACAAAGAUUCCAGUCCUUUCAUGGCUCGUGACCUCCCUGAACCUCUAGAAAAUAGAGUGUGGUUCUGUGCUGAAGCAGCAGAUCAUUCCAGCAUCAUAGCUUGCAGGAUUUGUAAACUGAAAAUGAGGGCUGACACCUGUAAAGCUUAUGCUUCAACAGUGCAAGUCAAUGAAAUCCAGCUUGGAAGAAAUUCCAUUUCAAUACCUGCCUGUCUUUUCUUCCUUUUUUCUUUUUUCUUUUCCUGUCUUCAAGGAGUUUUAUUCUUCUUUGCAGUGCCCUCAAAUACACCUUUCCAGCUAAAGACACAAUCAUGUGGACAGCUCUUUGUUUUGUUUUUCCUUCCAACCAAUGCUUUUGUGUAUUUCUGAAACUUAAGACACCUCCUCUGCUACUACAGUACUUAUCUGUAACACCAUCGCUUUGAGGGAUUAAAGCAGGUUACUUGUUACACACUUAGAUCAAGAGUUAUCUGAGUAGAAAGUCUAUCCCGUUCAGGUUGGCGGAAUCUGUUUUUGAUCUUGAGUUGUUUUGAUUUUCUCUGAGAGCAAGUAACAUGUUAUUUUAACUUCUGAAUAAGGUGUGCUACCUGACUGUGUCUCUUCUGUUUGGCAGAAAGGAUUAGAAACCUCCACGGAACUUGCACUCUAUUAAAGCAGAGUGCUCGCCAUUGAGAACCAAGGAGCUGAAUUGUUUUCAGAUUAUAUGUGUGUGUGUGUCUUUCCCACAUCAAAGACUUUGAUGGAAGCUGUUCACGCUAUUGUCAGGAAUGCAGGGAUUGGCACAAAGGUGAUUAGCAGAGUUGCUUUUCUGCAGUAGAAGCACAAAAAAAUAUCAAAGGAUUAAAGAGGAUAAAAUUAAAACGUUAUGCUGAAUUUAAGAGUGAAUUUUCUCCUUUUUUCCCCCCAGUUUAUACGUAGUGGUUUGGUUUUACCUAUAAAAGUGCUGCCAGAAGAAAUCAGAACUAGAAACUAUUUGGUAUGAGUUCUGCAAAAAGACGAGGAAAAAUCUCCCCUUAAAAAUAAUCCCACCAGGCCCUAUUCUGUGUAGUUCCAAACCACAGCUACAAGGAGCUCUUAGUGAGAGCGAAGGGCACGCAGCCAGCAGCCAUCCCUGCGAGGUACUUAGCAGCCGCAGGAUCGGGACCUUUAUUCAUACCCAUGCUGAAAAUUAUGGAAACAAACAAUUCCAUAAAUCAGUUUGUCAGCAGUGGUGCUGUUUGCUUACUUUUCUCACUACACGCUGCUGACAAAGAUACUAAACCAAGGGGGUCACUCUCAUUAUCCACUUACC
rnacentral:lncRNA from 1 species